rnacentral:rRNA from 1 species
AUGAACGCUAGCGGCAGGCCUAACACAUGCAAGUCGCGGGAGAAGCCCUUUCGGGGGCAGAAACCGGCGCACGGGUGCGUAACGCGUAUGCAACCUACCUUUCACAGGGGGAUAGCCCGAAGAAAUUUGGAUUAAUACCCCAUAAUAUUAUUGGAUGGCAUCAUUUGAUAAUUAAAACUGCGGUGGUGAAAGAUGGGCAUGCGUCCUAUUAGCUAGUUGGAGUGGUAACGGCACCCCAAGGCUACGAUAGGUAGGGGUCCUGAGAGGGAGAUCCCCCACACUGGUACUGAGACAGGGACCAGACUCCUACGGGAGGCAGCAGUGAGGAAUAUUGGUCAAUGGUCGGAAGACUGAACCAGCCAUGCCGCGUGCAGGAAGAAUGCCUUAUGGGUUGUAAACUGCUUUUAUAUGGGAAGAAUAAGGCGUACGUGUACGUUGAUGACGGUACCAUAUGAAUAAGCAUCGGCUAACUCCGUG